AGUGAACCCUCCUCACUUUGAUGGUGGACUAGAUCCCUUGGCCGUAAAAGCAUGGAUUUUGUAAAUUUAAGAAGCUCUUCUCUAUCUUGGAUCUUAUCGAGGAACAGAAGGUUCUCUUAACUACUUCAUGCUCACUGGUGAAGCCGAACAUUGGUGGUGGCUUAAGAAGGAUGUUAUGCAAACUCCUACUACUUGGGACUAUUUUAUGGACGCCUUUCUUGAGAAAUUUUUUUUGUUUAUGUUUAGGAAAAGAAGGAGGAAUUACUGGAACUACAUCAAAAAAAUAUGACUGUAAGCCAGUAUGCCGUUAGGUUUGUUUAGUUGUCUUAUUUCGCUCAAAUGAUGGUUGCC
rnacentral:lncRNA from 1 species